rnacentral:rRNA from 1 species
GACGAACGCUGGCGGCGUGCUUAACACAUGCAAGUCGAACGGUGAUGCUCCAGCUUGCUGGCGUGGAUCAGUGGCGAACGGGUGAGUAACACGUGAGCAACCUGCCCCAGACUCUGGAAUAAGCGCUGGAAACGGCGUCUAAUACUGGAUACGAAACUGGCCCGCAUGGGCAUGGUUUGGAAAGUUUUUCGGUUGGGGAUGGGCUCGCGGCCUAUCAGCUUGUUGGUGAGGUAAUGGCUCACCAAGGCGACGACGGGUAGCCGGCCUGAGAGGGCGACCGGCCACACUGGGACUGAGACACGGCCCAGACUCCUACGGGAGGCAGCAGUGGGGAAUAUUGCACAAUGGGCGAAAGCCUGAUGCAGCGACGCCGCGUGAGGGAUGACGGCCUUCGGGUUGUAAACCUCUUUCAGCAGGGAAGAAGCGAAAGUGACGGUACCUGCAGAAGAAGCACCGGCUAACUACGUG